AACGAACGCUGGCGGCAGGCCUAACACAUGCAAGUCGAGCGAGAUCUUCGGGUCUAGCGGCGGACGGGUGAGUAACGCGUGGGAAUAUGCCCCUUGGUACGGAAUAGCCUCGGGAAACUGGGAGUAAUACCGUAUGUGCCCUUUGGGGGAAAGAUUUAUCGCCAAGCGAUUAGCCGUCGUUGGAUUAGGUAGUUGGUGGGGUAAUGGCCUACCAAGCCGACGAUCCAUAGCUGGUUUGAGAGGAUGAUCAGCCACACUGGGACUGAGACACGGCCGAGACUCCUACGGGAGGCAGCAGUGGGGAAUCUUAGACAAUGGGGGCAACCCUGAUCUAGCCAUGCCGCGUGAGUGAUGAAGGCCUUAGGGUUGUAAAGCUCUUUCAGCUGGGAAGAUAAUGACGGUACCAGCAGAAGAAGCCACGGCUAACUACGUG
rnacentral:rRNA from 1 species